AUUUCACUGAGGGCAGGAGCUCUGAAAGCCAAUGGAGAAUCUUGGCAAAAGGAAGAACUUAUGAGGACAUACUCAUAGGGUGCUGAUAUGGGGCCCUUCUGCAUUUCUUCUUGCCUUCUUUUUUGUUGUUGCUGUGUGAAGGAUUCAAGAAAGUUUUGGUAGUUAUCCAGAUCUAUUUUCUUCAUACACAAAUCCCAGAAUUCCUGCUUUGGAGAAACAAAGAUGACUUCAGUGAAUGGGUGAGUAAUUGCAAGCCAGAAGGUAGAGAACCACGAAAAGACUUGUGUUUUCUUCCUGCCUGGUUAUCUCACUUCUUUUUUUCCAAAAGAAAAAGACUAUUCUAUGAUUUCAAAAAAUUUCUCUUGUAAAAUGUUUUGGGUUUUUUUUUGAGGAUAUUUCCAGAAACAGAUAUUGGAAUAUUUCUGAGUAG
rnacentral:lncRNA from 1 species